rnacentral:misc_RNA from 1 species
GAGUCGUAACAAGGUUUCCGUAGGUGAACCUGCGGAAGGAUCAUUACAGUAUUCUUUUGCCAGCGCUUAAUUGCGCGGCGAAAAACCUUACACACUUAUGUUUUUUUAAUUUGAAACUAUUGCUUUGGUCUGGCUUAGAAAUAGGUUGGGCCAAAGGUUUUAUUACCAAACUUCAAUAUUUAUAUUGAAUUUGUUAUUUUAAUUUUUUUGGUACAAUUUUGUUAGAUUAAAAUUUCAAAAAAUUCUUCAAAA